ACGAUCUUACUUGAACAGUAUUUGUACUAUAGGAUCAUACAGUUGCAUCCUUAAGGAAUGAAAGCGUGGUGAGGUGUAACAACAUCACGAC
rnacentral:snoRNA from 9 species